rnacentral:rRNA from 1 species
GCUGGCGGCAGGCUUAACACAUGCAAGUCGAGCGGUAGCAGAUCUAGCAUGCUAGAUGCUGACGAGCGGCGGACGGGUGAGUAACGCGUAGGAACCUGCCCAGUAGUGGGGGAUAGCCCGGGGAAACUCGGAUUAAUACCGCAUACGCUCUACGGAGGAAAGAGGGCUUCGGCCCUCGCUAUUGGAUGGGCCUGCGUGAGAUUAGCUAGUUGGUGAGGUAAUGGCUCACCAAGGCGACGAUCUCUAGCUGGUCUGAGGGGAUGAUCAGCCACACUGGGACUGAGACACGGCCCAGACUUCUACGGGAGGCAGCAGUGGGGAAUAUUGCACAAUGGGCGUAAGCCUGAUGCAGCCAUGCCGCGUGUGUGAAGAAGGCUUUCGGGUUGUAAAGCACUUUCAGUGGGGAGGAAGGCCUCGUAGUUAAUAGCUGCGAGGAUUGACGUUACCCACAGAAGAAGCACCGGCUAACUCCGUG